UGCUCAAGGAUGUCAGAUGCUCGCCU
rnacentral:piRNA from 1 species